UACGUAGGGUGCCAGCGUUGUCCGGAAUUAUUGGGCGUAAAGAGCGUGUAGGCGGCCCGAUUAGUCCGCUGUGAAAGUCCAGGGCUCAACCCUGGAAUGCCGGUGGAUACUGUCGGGCUAGAGUCCGGAAGGGGCGAGUGGAAUUCCUGGUGUAGCGGUGAAAUGCGCAGAUAUCAGGAAGAACACCCGUGGCGAAGGCGGUUCUCUGGGACGGUACUGACGCUGAGACGCGAAAGCGUGGGGAGCGAACAGG
rnacentral:rRNA from 1 species